rnacentral:snoRNA from 10 species
AUGUAAUAAUUAUUCUCAAGCAUGAUGAUUGGGUGUUUAUGAGCACAUGUGAGUUGUACCUCCUUCAAAUCCUGUUUUGGUGGCAGCACGUUACCCAUCUGACA